GAACAGCUUAGGAGUUGGAGAGGGAGGGAAGGGUUCUGAUGAAGGAAGGAGUCAUGAGGAAAAGACCAGAGAGAAAAGAUGAGGAUAGAAAAGGAAGCCUGAAUAUUAAUACCCAUUGUGUUAUUAGGAGCAUCCCAAACUCUGAGAUUUCAGGGCAGGAGCCUGAAAACUAAGGGCAGCCAGUGAUGCCACAGAAGUGGGCCCCAGUGAUGUCAUGGGAAGAACCUCUUUCACCUCAGCUACCAUGCCCUUUUGUGAAAUUACAGAUGGUCCACAGACAACUGGCAUCAGCAAAGCCUCCCCAGGCCUGGCAAUUGUAGGCACCUCAGCACUGAUUUGUUCGUUGUUUAUUUCUCAAUGUACUGCUACAAAGCUGAGGUGUUUGUUCUUCCAUUAUCUGUCUUUGAAAAAAAAAGAUAGAAUGGACGCCACAGCUAAAUGUAUUUAGAAAGAAGUUGGUUUGUCUAAGUGCUGCAGUUCUCUUCACUACUUUCAGGGUUGGUCUUAAGAAAACCUCACUGACUUCAGACAUGUCUUUGAGGGGGUCAGUACGCCUUUGAGCCGAUGCCAAUGACUGGGCUCAAUAACCGGUACUGCCCCGACUGGGCUAGGUGACUGGAGCACUUCCAGAGACCUUCCACUCCUGGAAAGCAGGUCUAAGUGCACUGGAUCCACAACUGUCCAUUGUGAGCACCAAGCUCAGCAGAGUAUGAACAACACGGAAGAAAGCUGUGAAACAUAACUUCUUUAUUUUCUAAUAGCUACUGCAAACUAGAACUAAAGAGCUACUGGCUUGCAUGAGUGUUACAGCUCUCACUCAGCCAUCUAAUCUCUACAUAGAUCACACUCAGACUCCCCACAGAGUCAGGCAGGAGCGGAAGAAGUGAAGAGCAGUUUUCGCACCCCCUCCUUUCUGAAAACAUCAUAUCAGGAGAUUCUCGCAAUGGGAGGGGGUGAAAAUAUCCACAGGGGAGGAACCCAGAGACCCUAAGGGGGAUAGCUAGCAUCUGACAGCAUCACCCAGGCAACUCCACCAGCUUCAGUUUCGUGACUUCAUCCACUAAUUUCAGCCUGCCAGCUUCCAUAGGUUUCAUCUAUUCAUGAAUAUCCACCGGUUACCUUUUACACAUCACAUAUGCACACAUAGGCACACCUUUUGACUUGAUCACAUUCAACGUCUCCCCUUCACACAGGCAUACACCAGUUAACAUCCAUGAAGCAUGCCAACGGACACAUCCUCUCACAAUUCAUUCACAUUCAUGCCCCAGCUUCAUCCCACAAAUAUCCACCGGCUUCUGUUGACCAGUUUCUGAAGAGGAAUUUCAACUGACUUACCAGUACAUCUGCAAACAUCAGCCUGCUUCAGCCUUGAGGUAUUCACCAAUUUCUGAAUGCGACCUCCGCCAGCUUCCAUCCACCAGCAUGAGCCAGCUUCUGCUACAUCUGUUAGCAGACAUCAGCCAGCUCCCAUCCAGCUCACCUGCCUUCAAGCCACAAUCCUACUCAGCAAGUGAACUUACUUUAUUAGUUCUCAAUAGCACCUGCAGCUGGAUAUUCGCCUCCUGCAGGUGGAAGAAGACUGGGAAAUGCUGAAUGUCAUAGCUGCUGCCUGCUGUAUCCACUCAGCUGCCAUCUGCUUUUGUGACAUCACAGGUAGUCUGUAGCCAAUGGUAACAGCUUGGAAAGCCUCACAGUUGUGGGUGCACUUCAACAGUGAUUUAUCUGUAUGCUUGCUUAUUAUUAGAAAUAUUUAUUAUAGCAACCUUCCAGGGGCCACGUCAAUGUUGGGUCAGAGGGAAAGGGAAGUAGAGCAACAAAUGCAACUCUUAUCUUUGUACAGUAGGCUCCUUUCCAGCUGUGCAAAAUUCAGAGGUUUCUAUGCCCACCCCCACAUCUCUCAAUCCAUUUAAGCAAGAAGCAUCACCACAGUUCAAGGAAACAUUCCAACAAGAAGAAAACCUUGAGGUGGGUGUAGAGCAAUGCUGUUUAGGGGCAUGGUACAAAGAAUGUCCCAAAGACCAGUGGCCUGGAGGGCUGCAUUUGGCCAACAGGCUAAGGUUCCCUAGAGUCGUCCAAGCAGCCAACAGUAUGGCCAGAGGAGUUGGGGGAGGGGGCAGGGACAGAUUGUCCCCAGUAGCUGGACUGGAUUAUGAAAGUAUUUGGCAGAGGUGGAGGUUUAGGGAAUUUGGCUUGAGGUAAAUGUCACAUAGAGGCUGAUGCCAGCAGCAGUAUCUCUAGAGUCUAGUGUUAGUGUCUAUCUAACAACUAAGUCUACAAUACCAGCAGCUGGGGCUUUUUAAAAAGCAUUCUGAGCAAUGGCAGAUUUAUGGUCUGUGGUUCCCUGUGUGCAACCCUUUUGAGGAGCCCUAUUCCUUCACCAAAAUAAACAUGGCUACAUCAAAAUCAAGGGUUUAUGAGGAGAUAAGGAUAAUAAUGUCACACGUCACCUCUGAGCAGUGUGAGAUUCCAGGGGUUCCAGGCACUUACUCAGGGUUCAGUUUCCUUAGAAUAAGGGACAGCAGAGACUGUGGUGUCUUUAGGCUAUAUGGUUUAUUUACACAUUUGUACAACCUGAGUCAAAGAUGGAGCAGCUCACAGCAUUAACACUCCAAAAGGUUGUGCUCUCCCAUAGUCACAGCAUUGGAUCUUAGCAGAAAUCAAGCAUGGCUUUCUCCCAGCUUCUGCCUGCCUCCAGCUCUCACACACUUGCACUCACUAUUGUCCUUCUAACAGUCAGGGGACCCACCCAUUUCCCCUCUGGCACAGUGCAACCUCCUUUGUUAUACUAACAACAGUACAUAGGGUCAUUAACUCACCAAUAAAAUGCCUGGCAGCAAGAAUUCUAAUAGCUAGAAACUGGAAAGGAGAUGUGAUACUGAUGAAAUUGGAGUGGCAAUCAAAACUAUUAGAAUUUGCAAAAAUGGCUAAAAUGACGAAAAAAUUAAGAGACCGGACUGAACAAACAUUUAUAAAGGAAUGGGACCUGUAUAGAAAGUAUUUCAGGGAGCAUUGUAAGAUUUUGAACUCGUUGGCAGGCCUGGAGUAACUUCUGUAGAAAACUAGGAAAUUAUAGUAACUUAAGAGAAUAAAGAUGUACAGUGGUACUUCAGGUUACAUACGCUUCAGGUUACAUAUGCUUCAGGUUACAUACUCUGCUAACCCAGAAAUAGUGCCUAGGGUUAAGAACUUUGCUGCAGGAUGAGAACAGAAAUCGUGCUCCGGAGGCGCAGCAGCAGCAGGAGGCCCCAUUAGCCAACGUGGUGCUUCAGGUUAAGAACAGUUUCAGGUUAAGAAUGGACCUCCGGGACGAAUUAAGUACUUAACCCGAGGUACCACUGUAUUAGUAUUGAUAAAGAGAAGUGUGACAGCUCAAAAAAUAAUAAGAUAUCUUGAUGGGGUGAUGGGAAGUUAUUAUGGAAGAUAUUUAUUAGGAAAUUAUUAUAUUUACAGUAGAUGUAUUGUGUUAAUGUGCUUUUAUUUGUUUGUUGUAUGUUUGGUUUUUUGUUGGAAGUAAUAAAGCAAAAUUAAUU
rnacentral:lncRNA from 1 species